UACAUGGGGUGCAAACGUUGCUCGGAAUUAUUGGGCGUAAAGCGCGCGUAGGCGGUUACUUAAGUCGGAUGUGAAAGCCCUCGGCUUAACUGAGGAAGUGCACCCGAAACUGAGUAGCUAGAGUACGAAAGAGGGUCGCGGAAUUCCCGGUGUAGAGGUGAAAUUCGUAGAUAUCGAGAGGAAUACCAACGGCGAAGGCAGGUCACUGGGCAGUUACUGACACUGAGGCACGAAGGCCAGGGGAGCAAACGGG
rnacentral:rRNA from 1 species